rnacentral:rRNA from 1 species
GAUGAACGCUGGCGGCGUGCCUAAUACAUGCGAGUCGAGCGAACAGACGAGGAGCUUGCUCCUUUGAUGUUAGCGGCGGACGGGUGAGUAACACGUAGGUAACCUACCUAUAAGACUGGGAUAACUUCGGGAAACCGGAGCUAAUACCGGAUAAUAUUUCGAACCGCAUGGUUCGAUAGUGAAAGAUGGCUUUGCUAUCACUUAUAGAUGGACCUGCGCCGUAUUAGCUAGUUGGUAAGGUAACGGCUUACCAAGGCAACGAUACGUAGCCGACCUGAGAGGGUGAUCGGCCACACUGGAACUGAGACACGGUCCAGACUCCUACGGGAGGCAGCAGUAGGGAAUCUUCCGCAAUGGGCGAAAGCCUGACGGAGCAACGCCGCGUGAGUGAUGAAGGUCUUCGGAUCGUAAAACUCUGUUAUUAGGGAAGAACAAACGUGUAAGUAACUGUGCACGUCUUGACGGUACCUAAUCAGAAAGCCACGGCUAACUACGUG